GCUUGUGUUUGCAGCUACACUACUGGCUGAGGAAUUAGAGUGACAUUUUAUAACUCAUCCGCUGCUAGAUUUCCUCCCUUUCUCACUUUCUGUUUUGUCGUCUGGGUUCACUUGGCCAUCAUGACUUUAACAAAUUCCUCAUAGUUGAUUUGGCCAUCGCCAUCAACAUCGGCUUCACGAAUCAUUUCAUCGACUUCCUCAUCGGUGAGCUUCUCGCCGAGGUUGGUCAUGACAUGACGGAGUUCUGCAGCAGAGAUGAAGCCAUUCUGGUCCUUAUCAAACACUCGGAAAGCCUCCUUGAGCUCCUCCUCUGAAUCGGUAUCUUUCAUCUUGCGAGCCAUCAAGUUAAGAAACUCUGGGAAGUCGAUUGUGCCGUUGCCAUCAGCGUCAACCUCGUUUAUCAUGUCUUGAAGCUCUGCUUCUGUAGGGUUCUGACCCAGAGAACGCAUCACAGUUCCAAGCUCUUUUGUCGUGAUGCAACCUGUUGUAAUUAAAGAUGGAAAAAUGUACUUCAAUGACACCACUAAGAUCCAUCCAAAAAGGCCUAUCUGUUUCAGUUAUAGCUAUAGUCAUCAUCUCUAUGCAAAUAAUUUCUACUAAGCCAAUAAGAAUAACAUGUAGAAAUAGGGUCUACUCAAUGUAGAUAUAUAGUUACACUAUGUGUUACCAUGCCGCACUCUAAAGAAUAACGUUCAAGCAGCAUCCUGAAUAGAUGCUUCAGUAAAUUGCCAAUGACCAUAUCUUGACAAGGCAAAACUAUUGAUUACUUAGAAUCAUUUUACUUAUGCUACAUAUAAUAUGCCAAGUGACACAGUAACGCCUUAGCUUUAUAACAAGGAUGAUCCUUCACAACCUAAGUGACCAAAAGUCUAAGCCACGAAAAUAGCCUUUCUAUUUCCAAGGCUAAUGCUGGACAUAUUGAUCAUUCCCAGACUCCAACAUAGAUGGAACCCCAUAAGUAGGUUGCUCCAAGGAUGUAUACCAAGAGGCAUUUUUGGUGGUGUAAUUUCUUGAAUGGUUAGCUACUUAGUUGAUAUCUUUAAGAAAAAGGGCUAGAAAAAGUAAAUGAAUCAAUCUAUUAACGAUUCGUUAUUGCAAAGUAAUUAACACUCUUAAAGCUCGAGGGAAUGAACACAGUUUUUGUGGGAUCAUUUGAUGUUGAUAUAGUCAAAGUUGCUUAUCGAACUAAAAGAAAGUAACUAGCUUGUCCCACAUUAACUUGUCUGACAAACUAUUGCCAUUCCAAUUAAUAAUCCCAUCCAUCUUGCAUCCAACUUAUGUGGGAAAGCAAUGACCACCUUGAGAAUGUUGUGCUCCCGUAAGGCUAAGGCUGAAAGUACACCACAACAAUCCCACUUUAUGUUUGAAUCAUCACAAUAUAGACUCAUCAUGGAAAUAGAAGGUCAAAUGUGUGGAGACGGGAAUCAAGAUCCUCAUUAAAGAAUACACACUCAUAUGUAAUAUAGGAGAAGAUGCAAAAUUUCUUUUUCUACAUUAACAAGCCUUUGACACGGAUAAAUCUCAAAAGAGGAAUUAUACAUGCACUAUGAAUCCUGGUUGUCACUGACGUCCCAAGAUGAUGAACGGGAUUGGAAGUUGGAACAAGAUCCCAAGGAUAUCAGACGUGAAAGGUCUCUUAACACAAGUGAACAACCACUACAUGUAUGAUAAUUUCACCGAAUCAAACCUGAUGCUCAAGCUAAAGGGGCGAAGAAAAAACCUCAGCUGUUUACUCAGAUCUGAAGUCAACAACCUUCACAGCGUAAAUAAGAAAAAUCGAGACAACGAUUCAUAAAGAUAUCUGAUUCAUGUUUCAGGGCGGGUCGAUUAUCUGCUUCCAAAAAAACCUCUUCGACGAUCAAAAACCCAUCUUAGAAUACACGGUACGGUGAAAGCAAAUGAAAUCCUUCAACGCUUGACCAACAGGAUCUACGAAUUAAGAAGACGUGGUAGAAAAUGCGAUCGAGGGGAUCUAACCAUCGCCGUCCUUGUCGAACAGGCUGAAGGCCUCCUUGAACUCGGCGAUCUGAUCGUCGGUGAGCUGCUCCGCCAUGCCUCCUCUGCAAUCGUUCUCACAAGAGAAGGAUGGAGAGAGAGAUUGGAGAUCCUUGAACAACAACUAGAAGAAGAAAGGGAGACGAAGAAGAGGACGCGAGCGUUUUGUGCCCUCUCACUUCGCGGUGAUCGAGUUCACCCCGGAA
rnacentral:lncRNA from 1 species